rnacentral:rRNA from 1 species
GAAUAUUGGACAAUGGGGGAAACCCUGAUCCAGCAAUGCCGCGUGAGUGAAGAAGGCCUUAGGGUUGUAAAGCUCUUUCGCCCGCGAAGAUAAUGACGGUAGCGGGAGAAGAAGCCCCGGCUAACUCCGUGCCAGCAGCCGCGGUAAUACGGAGGGGGCUCGCGUUGUUCGGAAUUACUGGGCGUAAAGCGUACGUAGGCGGAUGCGCAAGUUGGGGGUGAAAUCCCGGGGCUUAACCUCGGAAUUGCCCUCAAAACUGCACGACGUGAGACCGAGAGAGGUGAGGGGAAUUCCUAGUGUGGAGGUGAAAGUCGUAGAUAGUAGGAAGAACACCAGUGGCGAAGGCGCCUUACUGGCUCGGUACUGACGCUGAGGUACGAAAGCGUGGGGAG